UUACUUACCUAGACGGAGUCGACGGCCGAUCAAAAAGGGCGGUGGCCUAGAUCAACGUCUUGCAUUGCACUUUGCUAGAGUGUCGGUCUAUCAUCUUCUCUCGUGGGAGAGUGGACGUUAUAAUUUGUGGCAGAGGGGUACACGUUUGCGCGGCCUCUA